CUGAGAACCGAAGGUCGAAGGGAGAAAUUCAAUCGCGAUCUGUUGCCGGCGAAUAGAUGUACGUUUGACGAACAAUAGAAAUAGGCGUGUGUGCUGUUCGCAAGGAUGGUUGCGCACGUUUGUUAUGUUGAACGCUAUGUACGUUUAUCGAUCCUGGUAAUGAACGUGUGCAAUUUUCUUCUGGUAGGACGUCGUGAUCCGUUGGGUUGUCAAUCUAYGGCGAUACGGUAAAUAGGCCCGCUGGUACGGUAGGACAAUUUUGUUCUAUCGCCAUUAUCGGUGGAUUUACCCGAACUGAUUGACUUGCCCGACGGUAUACGAACGGUUAAAGGUCGCUGCUGAAAGCGUUAGAGGCGUUGGCAAGUGCCAUUAUCUUUGAAUCUGUUAAUCGAGGUUCGUCCUUGAUUACGAUUUAAUAAUUGGUGCUGUUGGCUGCGUUUAAUGUUUCUAACUGACCUGCUGUUGAUUUUAUAUCACGGUACCGAUCUAYGACGCUACAGCUUUGGGUAAUUUCAGGACCCGUCUUGAAACACGGACCAAGGAGUSUAGCAUGUGCGCAAGUCAUUGGGUUAAUUAUUGUGAAACCCAAGGGCGUAAUGAAAGUAAAUAUCAACGAGAAUAAAGCGAGUGCUUGCGGUGUUUUUGCAUUGUUGUGCGCUCCUUUUUUUUGUUGCAGGAAAGAUAGAUAACGUGUGUAGCUAGCUAGGCUAGAGCCAAUAGACAGCAUUUUUGUUUGUAGAUUGGUUCGCAUGUUGUUUCGCAUUUCCGGGGCGUUUCAUAAUUUUGUUUCGGUUUUCGGUUUUUUCGAAUCGGAAUCGAGAUGAAAGGAGGCGCACCAUG
rnacentral:rRNA from 1 species